rnacentral:misc_RNA from 1 species
GUUUUUAUUCUGUUAACUCAAGGCAUACUUACGGUUUUCCAUCUUCUGUAGAUGGGUAAAAAUGAGAGUGUUUUUGGUCUUUUCCCUCUCAAUAACGGUGAUUUAACAGUAAUAUUAAUGGUAGUGAUAUAAAGGUGGCUUUUAAAAAUAUAGAGAUUAAGUUAUAUAUUUUAUUAAAUUUUAGGAACUAAAUUACAAUUUACCUAGAAAAAAGGAAACACAAUUCCAAGGCCUCAAAAUAUUAUGCAGAAAUGGAGAAUAAUAAAGUAACAGACUAGCACCUAUCAAGCAAAUCCAAAUAGAAUGAAUAAAAUUCACGGGGAC